GCUUGUGAAACAGCUCUCUGCAUUAUUGAGCUGAUUCCUCUCCAUUUUUUUUCUUCUUCAGAAACUGAAGCCCACUGAUAAGAAUCUGAUCUCAGCUUUUCUCUCUGGUUGGAGAAGCCUUCAAUGGCUAAGCAAAAAUGAAGAGCAGAAUGUCCAGACCAAGGCUUUCUCCAGAGCCCUGAGAGACUUCUGGUCAAUUUUUAAGAGAAAAUUUCCCAAAGU
rnacentral:lncRNA from 1 species